rnacentral:rRNA from 1 species
UACGUAGGGUGCGAGCGUUGUCCGGAAUUACUGGGCGUAAAGAGCUCGUAGGUGGUUUGUCGCGUUGUUCGUGAAAACUCACAGCUCAACUGUGGGCGUGCGGCGAUACGGGCAGACUGGAGUACUGCAGGGGAGACUGGAAUUCCUGGUGUAGCGGUGGAAUGCGCAGAUAUCAGGAGGAACACCGGUGGCGAAGGCGAGUCUCUGGGCAGUAACUGACGCUGAGGGGCGAAAGCGUGGGGAGCGAACAG